GCAAUUACUCAUGCCACCCUGAACAAGCCCAAUCCUGUUUGAUCUCGGAAGCUAAGCAGGGUCGGGCCUGGUUAGUACUUAGGUGGGAGACCACCUAGGAAGACCAAGUGCCAUAGGCG
rnacentral:rRNA from 1 species